UUCCCUUAGUAGUGGCGAACGAAAAGGGAGGAGCCCAGCGCAUAAUCUCCCAGGCCGCCCGGCCUGCGGCGAAAUGUUGCGUUAAGGGAAAGGUCGCUCGUAAGCCACGCACGCUCGUGCUUAUGCCUAAGAGCGAAUUGAAUUGUUCGCGCUUGUUCGGCAUUCGCUCACGCGAGUUGUCGACGUACGGUUCCAGGGUGGGUGCAAGCCCCGUAUGGCGUACGUUGCGUUGCGUUGGUUCGGCCUCUAUUCCCUAAGAGUCGCGUUGCUUGAACAUGCAGCGCUAAGCAGGUGGUAAACUCCACCUAAGGCUAAAUACAUCCACAGAACCGAUAGCUGACAAGUACCGCGAGGGAAAGUUGAAAAGUACUCUGAAGAGAGGGUGAAAAGACCGUGAAACCGCUCAGGGUAAAAGUCAAAUGUCGAGUGAUCCUAGAUGCUGGGGCAUCGUCUCCUUAUCGAGGCGAUAGUGCGUGUCAGUGUGCGCGUUAGAAGUUACUAGGCUUAUGUAAGCGCGCCGUUUAUUACUGGAGUUUCUCGCUCUAGUGUAUUCGGUCAUUUAAGCCGAGUCUCUCUAGCGCAUCGAGCAUAUCGAGUACACCACCGUUAGGCCCGCUAACAGCCCACCGCAACUGCUGUCGAGUUGUCACUCGCGGUAGACGGGCGUAAGUUCGUGACUUUCUCGUUCUCUCAGUCGUCAGGUUUGCGCUUGCGAGAUGUUUUCCGGAGUAGGCUGAAGGGCGAAAGCUCUUCGGUGCGAAAAGGGCCUCUCGUACGCGGGCGUACUACUAAUGACAUACCAUAAGGCUGGGAAUAGCGAGUUUGUCGUAAAGCGUACUAUGCGUCGUACUACCAAUGCGAUUGUGUAUGAUCCUCUAGCAGCGUUGUUCGCUGACACACACACACACACACACGUGUGCGUGUGUGUACGGUGGUAUAUGCUAGGUGACAUUGAUCACGUCUCGAAACACGGGCCAAGGAGCGUAGCGUGCGCGCAAGUCAAAGGGUCUCACUAAACCCUACGGCAACAGUGAAAGCGAGUGGUUCAUCGGCAUACGUGUCGGUGUAUCCCGGGUUGCGACGAUAGUUCUUUUACCGAAGUCUAUUCGAAGCAUCUCCGUUUUGUCAGGGCCGAUCCCGGUCGAAUAGAUUGGGCGCAAGCCCCGGGCUCACUCGUAAGACGCGAUUUCCCUUCACGGGGUUGUUGUGUCGGAGAGAGCACCGAGUAGCGCGCACGGUACAACCCGAAAGAUAGUGAACUAUGCCUGGCGAGGAUUAAGCCCCAGGAAACUGUGGUGGAAGUCCGUAGCCGUUGUGACGUGCAAAUCCAUGGUAUCAGCUGGGCAUAGGGGCGAAAGACCAAUCGAACUAUCUAGUAGCUGGUUCCGUCCGAAGUUUCUCUCAGGAUAGCUGGCGCGAUUACGGCACGUUUGUCUGAUUCUCUAAGCUGGCGACCACAGUCGCACUCGAGAUCGUUCCUGCGUUUGUCGAGAGCUGAGGGCAAUAGCCGCUGCACGCCUCACACGCUCGGUGUCUCUGUCACCUUACUAACUAUUCAGUUACGUCUGGUAAAGAGAAUGAGUAGAGGUUGCGUGCCGCGCGCCCAAAUGCGCGGCAGCGGCGGGGCGUUCUACGCCUCGCACUAUUAUCAAACUUUAAAUGGGCGAGGAACUCGGCAUUCCUUAACUGAGUUAAACGUGAUGCCGGGGAAACGAGUGCGCGUCGCCGUAACAUAGCGACGAGACCAGAAUGUGUCCGCGUUUAGUGGGUCCGUUCUGGUAAGCAGAACUGAUAAUGAGGGAUGAACCUAACGUUGUGUUAAGGGGCCAAAAUGACAGCUAUUUCUCGAAACCAUUGGAAAGGCGUUGCUUGCUGAAGACAGCAGGACGGUGGUCAUGGAAGUUGACAUCCGCUAAGGAGUGUGUAACAACUCAUCCUGCCGAAGCGAGUAACCCUGAAAAUGGAUGGCUCUAAAGCUCUCUCCCGAUGCACGACCGUCAGCGGCAACACGGCUAUUCAUAGUCUCGAUGCCCUGACGAGUAGGACGGAGUAUCGGUGCGCGUCGAAGGCCUUAGGGUAACCUGGGCUGGAGCCGCCGAUAAUUCAGAUCUUGGUGGUAGUAGCAAGUACUCUGGUUGAUAACCUUGAGCUAUGAGGUUGAUAAGGGUUCCAUGUCAACAGCGUUUGUACAUGGGUAAGCCGAUCCUAAGCCAACCUAUACCUCGGUGUAGAGCGCGAGCGCAACUUGCAUAUGUUAUACCUGGUAAUAACGACUUUAACGCUAUAUACGGCUUAUAUUAACACGAGAGAGAGAGAUAUCGAUAUUAAAAGAGAGUUAUACGUUCGAUCCUUAUCGUAGUGUAUUAGUCUCUGUGCGCGCGCGGUGUGUGUGUGUGUGUGUUUAUUAUAUAUGAUGAACCUCUUUUGUGUGUUCUGCGGGAAAUAGUUGGUGCGAUGAAACAGUGUUAAAUCGGUGUAACACCCGUUUUUAUCUCUAGUAGCCACCCUCUGUAGUACCACACAUAGCCAGACACACGUCUAUAACAGGGGUGAUUUAUAUUAGACACACACGCGAGAGCAGCAGCGCGCUCAUACUUUUACACGUAGAUUUAGAGAGUAUAUCUCUUAUCCACGCUCUCUCUCUAUAUAUAUAUACAGCUAAGUUAUCGUCUGAAGGGUAUUUUUGCGAGUUGUUUUAGCCUGGCGAAAGGGAACUAUGGACUUAGUUCAUGGGCCUCUCUUGGUUCCCUGAUGCGUCGCCGUAUCACGAACUUAGCAACAGCUAUCUAGCUGAGCCAUUGCAGUCUCGAGUCGCGUGAUGGGGAGAUGUCUCCUCUCAUUAAUCGAACCCCUAGAACCUGUUAAACGCCUUGAGAGGAGUUAGGCUCUAUGUUCGUGAGAAGAGUAAUUUCUCUCCCCAAUCAUAUCAAUGUUUCUCGAGAUCCGUGAAAAAGUGGCCGAGGGAAUUUCUCUGAUGAACCAUCUCUACCGAUGUUCUUAGAGAUUGCCAAGAGUGUACGUACCCGAGUCCGCAUCCGUCUCAA
rnacentral:rRNA from 1 species